GACGAACGCUGGCGGCGUGCUUAACACAUGCAAGUCGAACGGUGAAGCGCUUGCCUUUUUGGUGGGUGUGGAUGAGUGGCGAACGGGUGAGUAACACGUGAGUAACCUGCCCUCUUCUUCUGGAUAACCUCAUGAAAGUGGGGCUAAUACGGGGUAUUCCGGGUCUGUCGCAUGGCGGGUUUGGGAAAGAUUGCGCCUUUGGGUGUUUUCGGUGGGGGAUGGGCUCGCGGCCUAUCAGCUUGUUGGUGGGGUGAUGGCCUACCAAGGCGGUGACGGGUAGCCGGCCUGAGAGGGUGGACGGCCACACUGGGACUGAGACACGGCCCAGACUCCUCGGGAGGCAGCAGUGGGGAAUAUUGCACAAUGGGCGCAAGCCUGAUGCAGCGACGCCGCGUGAGGGAUGGAGGCCUUCGGGUUGUGAACCUCUUUCGCCAGUGAAGCAGGCCUGCCUCGUUUG
rnacentral:rRNA from 1 species